rnacentral:rRNA from 1 species
UACGUAGGGUGCAAGCGUUAAUCGGAAUUACUGGGCGUAAAGCGUGCGCAGGCGGUGAUGUAAGACAGAUGUGAAAUCCCCGGGCUUAACCUGGGAACUGCGUUUCUAACUGGCAGGCUUGAGUGUGGCAGAGGGGGGGUGGAAUUCCACGGUGUAGCAGUGAAAUGCGUAGAGAUGUGGAGGAACACCGGUGGCGAAGGCGGCGACCUGGUCCUUUACUGACGCUGAGGCGCGAAAGCGUGGGGAGCAAACAGG